rnacentral:rRNA from 1 species
GACGAACGCUGGCGGCGUGCUUAACACAUGCAAGUCGAGCGGAGCGGCGAACGGGUGAGUAACGCGUGAGUAACUGCCCCCCUCUCUGGGAUAACAGUUGGAAACGGCUGCUAAUACCGGAUAGUGGGGGAUGACUCGCGUCCUAUCAGCGUGUUGGUGGGGUAGUGGCCUACCAAGGGGACGACGGGUAGCCGGCCUGAGAGGGGGACCGGCCACCGUGGGAUUAGAUACGGGCCAAAAUACGUCUGGAGGCAGCAGGGGGGAAUAAUGCACCAGGGGGGAAACCCUGAUGCAGCAACGCCGCGUGCGGGAUGACGGCCUUCGGGUUGUAAACCGCUUUCAGCCAUGACGCGGUAGUGGCAGAAGAAGCACCGGCUAACUACGUGCCAGCAGCCGCGGUAAUAC